rnacentral:lncRNA from 1 species
UCUGUCAUUUCACGUACUCGUCACUGUCUCCAACCUCUUCAGAACCAGAAUCCACCUAACCAUUAACAAAUUGCCCAGGAUAGAGAUAGACAAGGCAUCUGUCCAAACCAGGUACUGCUUAUUUUGUGGAAAUUAGCAGAGUGGUUUCUAUGGGUAUGGCCAAGAGGUACAUUUGGAGUUUUGCUAGAAGGUAGGUAAAGCAAUCA